AAUUCGCCCUUAGAGUUUGAUCCUGGCUCAGGACGAACGCUGGCGGCGUGCUUAACACAUGCAAGUCGAGCGGACGGAGGAACUUCGGUUCCGAAGUUAGCGGCGGACGGGUGAGUAACGCGUGAACAAUCUGUCCCAGACAGGGGGAUAACACAUCGAAAGGUGUGCUAAUACCGCAUAAGACCACAGUGCCGCAUGGCACAGGGGUAAAAGAACGGAAUCGGUUUGGGGUGAGUUCGCGUCUGAUUAGCUAGUUGGUGAGGUAACGGCCCACCAAGGCGACGAUCAGUAGCCGAUCUGAGAGGAUGACCGGCCACAUUGGAACUGAGAGACGGUCCAAACUCCUACGGGAGGCAGCAGUGGGGAAUAUUGGGCAAUGGGCGCAAGCCUGACCCAGCAACGCCGCGUGAGGGAAGAAGGUUUUCGGAUUGUAAACCUCUGUCCUAAGGGAAGAAAGGAAUGACGGUACCUUAGGAGGAAGCCCCGGCUAACUACGUGCCAGCAGCCGCGGUAAUACGUAGGGGGCGAGCGUUGUCCGGAAUGACUGGGCGUAAAGGGCGUGUAGGCGGCCUGUUAAGUUAGGAGUGAAAGUCCAGCUUUCAAGGUUGGAAUUGCUUUUAAUACUGAUGGGCUUGAGUGCAGAAGAGGUAAGUGGAAUUACCGGUGUAGCGGUAAAAUGCGUAAAUAUAUGGAGGAACACCAGUGGCGAAGGCGGCUUGCUGGUCUGAUACUGACAUUGAGGCACGAAAGCGUGGGGAGCAAACAGGAUUAGAUACCCUGGUAGUCCACGCCCUAAACGAUGAGUACUAAGUGUUGCCGCAAGGCAGUGCUGAAGUUAACGCAUUAAGUACUCCGCCUGAGUAGUACGUACGCAAGUAUGAAACUUAAAGGAAUUGACGGGAGCCCGCACAAGCGGUGGAGCAUGUUGUUUAAUUCGACGAUACGCGAAGAACCUUACCAGGUCUUGACAUCCUGAUGAUAGCUAUAGAGAUAUAGUGAGAAAGUCAGAGACAGGUGGUGCAUGGUUGUCGUCAGCUCGUGUCGUGAGAUGUUGGGUUAAGUCCCGCAACGAGCGCAACCCUUAUCGUUAGUUACCAUCAUUAAGUUGGGGACUCUAGCGAGACUGCCAGUGAUAAAUUGGAGGAAGGUGGGGAUGACGUCAAAUCAUCAUGCCCUAUAUGACCUGGGCUACAAACGUGCUACAAUGGCUGGAACAAAGAGAAGCAAGAUCGCGAGAUGGAGCAAACCUCAUAAAAACAGUCUCAGUUCGGAUUGAAGUCUGCAACUCGACUUCAUGAAGUUGGAAUCGCUAGUAAUCGCGAAUCAGAAUGUCGCGGUGAAUACGUUCUCGGGCUUUGCACACACCGCCCGUCA
rnacentral:rRNA from 1 species